ACAUGUAUACAACAUAGCGUUAAUGCAUCAAAUCCCAUUAGAACUACGUAGUUAAGUGUGCUCAGGCUAGAUUAGUACUGGGAUGGGUGACCUCCCAGGAAUUCCAAGUAUUUUACAUGCC
rnacentral:rRNA from 1 species